UACGUAGGUGGCAAGCGUUAUCCGGAAUUACUGGGCGUAAAGGGUGCGUAGGUGGUUUCUUAAGUCUGGUGUAAAAGGCAGUGGCUCAACCAUUGUAUGCAUUGGAAACUGGUAGACUUGAGUGCAGGAGAGGAGAGUGGAAUUCCAUGUGUAGCGGUGAAAUGCGUAGAUAUAUGGAGGAACACCGGUGGCGAAAGCGGCUCUCUGGCCUGUAACUGACACUGAGGCUCGAAAGCGUGGGGAGCAAACAGG
rnacentral:rRNA from 1 species